AGACCUCGGGGAAACCUCGAUCCGUCCACCUCUUCGAAUGGCCACCAGGGGGCGCUGCAAGGCUGCUUCCCAGAUAUUGGGCAGCCUGGUAGUUGCCACACGGCUUCAGUAGACCCUGGAAAAUGUGGCACGAGUGAAAACUACUCCAAUGUAGAGUAUGAAAAUUAUAUGGAAAAUUUUUUUCUGCAGGAAUGAGCAGAGUUCCAGCUUCACACAAGCCUCUUCAUUCAUUGUGGGAAAACACUGGAGACAGAGUGAGAGUAUAGAGGGGAGAGGGCCUCCAUAUGUGAGCAACAACAAGGCUGGGAGACUACAGAAGAUCCCGUGAUCCCCUGAGUGGUGGUAUUCAAAUAUUGUUACAUCAACAGCUCUAACUGCCUUGCCAGUGUACUUUACUCAUGUGUGUUUUACAUGAGAAAGGGCCAAGAAUGGCCUGAAAACAAUGAAGGAAAGAAUUUUAGGAAAGUACAGAUUAUGGAAAACAAAUUUUAGAAGAUAAAAUAGUAUAAUGAAGUGGAUCACUACUCUGACGGAGGAAAAUAAAUUAACCACCUUGCCCCAGGGCACUGAGUCCUGUAACAAAUGGUUAUCGAACACCGAUUGAAAGUCCGGUGCUGUGCCAAGACUUUUAGGGAAUUGGUCCUAAAAGAGCUCCCUAAUAAAUGUCCUACACACCACCGAUCAAUAACUUUUCAUCUUGGAGACAGUUCCGAGAGAACCAACCUACCAGACAAAUUGCCAUUUGAUCCCUGGGUGUAAGCUUACCUCUGGAUUUGACUUUUGUCUUCUCCCACCCUAAGAAUCCCAGGCACAAAUAUGCAACAUAGCUACUACCGCUCUCUCGGCCCACGCAGUAAACCUGACGGAGAGAGGAAGUAUGUUCAUUAUCCUGUCAGGGCAAAGAUGCUCCUUCAAGUGCAGAGUAAUGGCACGGUUUCUGCCCGUUUUCCCUGAAGUCCCAUCUGGAGUCAGCCUCUUCCGAGCUGAGUCCUACCAUCUAUCACAAGAAAGCACGCCACAGUCUCAUCCCUUUAACAGCCACCGUAUGGCUAUUUCUGUCUUUAGACUGCCAGCACAGAGCCCUCCUGGGGGCCAUCUAUGAUCUUCCGGGUCUCCAAGGACUCUCCACCGUAAGGAGCAUGGUGGCUCAUCUCCGAAUAGAAAGAUCCCAGCUGUUUACUCAGGAAAAGACCAGGUGAAUCACUGUUAUCUACAAUAAUGUGAAACCACUGGAGAAGGAUGGAGAAGGAUGUUUUUUAAUCCUUCUAACACACAUACACUCAUACACACCCAUGCAAGCACACACGAAUACAUACACACACAUGUACACACAUGCACACACACACAUGUUAAUCAGAGGUCUAGAAUCUUGAACAGAAGAAUACAUAUACUUCAAGAUGUCCUGGUAAAUACCGUUGGGUUAAAAGGAAGAAUUUAUACUUCUUUUUUUCAAACUCAAGAAUUAAAGUAGCGUCAUCCCAC